GCAGCGUCCCAUGUGACCAGGCCUGUGGUGCCGUGGGAGAUGAUGGCUGUGCUCUUGGAGAGUGUGACCGAGCCUCCCGAGGGCUGCACCAAGAGAGGGCGAGAGAGUCAGUCCAGCAAUCAGAAGACAAGUGGCAUAGAAGACAAGUAGCCAUCCACCACAUGGCUGAAUAAACCAUGACAGGACCAAUCGCUACUCAGCAAUGAGAAACAGCUAACUGUUGACAUGCCAUCAGCUUGCACAGGCCUCAAGGGUGUCAUGUGGCAUGAAAGACACUCAUCUCAGGCCAUACAGGAUUCCAUUCAUUGAACAUUCCUGAGACAACAGAAUUCUGGCGAUGGAGCACUGUUCUGUCACCCAGGCUGGAGUCAGUGGCAUGAUCUUGGCUCACUGCAACCUCUGCCUCCUGGGUUCAAGCAAUUCUCCUGCCUCAGUCGCCCAAGUAGCUGCGAGUACAGACACGUGCCGCCAUGUCUGGCUAAUUUUUGUACUUUUUUUUGAGACAGAGGUUCACUCUCGUUGCCCAGGCUGGAGUGCAAUGGCCCGAUCUUGGCUCACUACAACCUCCAGCUCCUGGGUUCAAGAGAUUCUCCUGCCUCAGCCUCCAGAGUAGCUGGGAUUGCAGGUGCUCAUUACCACACCCUGCUAAUUUUUGUAUUUUUAGUAAAGAUGGAGUUUCACCAUGUUGGCCAGGCUGGUCUCAAACUCCUGACCUCAGGUGAUACCCCUGCCUCAGCCUCCCAAAGUGCUGGGAUUACAGGCAUGAGCCACCACGCCCAGCCUAAUUUUUGUAUUUUUAGUAGAGACAGGGUUUCACCAUAUUGGCCAGGCUGGUCUCGAACUCCUGACCUCAGAUCCACCAGCCUCGGCCUCCCAAAGUGCUGGGAUUACAGGCGUGAGCCACCACACCCAGCCCUGUCAGGUGUUCUUUGAGGACUGGGCACCAGGUCCUUGUGAAGCAGGUAGUGUGUGCCACCCAUUGGACAAAUGCCCAACAACCGCACGAGGCAUGAUGUUGUUGUUGAAGUGCCUGAUUUACAGACAGGGAAACUGAGGCUAAAGAAGGUUAAUGGACCUCAUAUCUAAGACUGCAGAAUGGGUGAGUCAGGAUUUGAACCCACACCCACGUUUUCACUUUGUGCAGGAAGGGUAUCUGGGCUGUGAGGGGGAGGAGGGUGCCCUUCUCAUACCAGCAAAUAGCUCCAGUGGCCCUGGGUGGACUCCUUGGCCAUCAAAGUCUCCGCCAGCACCUCGUACAGCUCGUCCAAAGGCUCUGUGUGGACAGCCUCGUGCUGGGGGCAGGCUGAGUGAGAGCUUGUUUGCUUUCGUUCUAAUCUGUAAAAAUGGCCAGAUGAUUUUCGCCAGGUUUGGAGGGGAGAUUUGGGAUGGAAUGGUGUAAUACCGGCCAGCUGCCAUAUAAAAUAUUCACUUCAUUGGGCGUGGUGGUGUGUGCCGAAUAGUUCCAGCUACUCUAGAAGCUGACAUGACAGGACUGCUUGAGCCCAGGAGUUCGAGGACAGCCUGGGCAAGAGACCUUAUCUCUAAAAAAAAAAUUCACUUGGUAGGGAAACCUGGAUGGGAGGGCCUUCAACAAGAGGUGUUGAGAGGGUAGGGUUAGGUGUAGUCUAGGGCAGGAGACAAGAAUUCCAUGAGAGCUGCCACUUGACCAUGACAGAGAGCUCUGUGUUUGGAUCAAACACAGAGAGGAGGAAAACAAAAGGUGCUUUUAAGUGAGCCCAGGCAGAACUGUGAGGGCGGCCCAUGCUGCAGGCUGUGGCUGUCAGCAGGCUGCUUCUCCACGGCUGGCCCCGUCCUAAGAUUCACAGGGCAGCAACAGGGUACACUGGAUGACCGCUGCCCUCUCCUGGUGGCACAGGGCAGACCUGCUGGUGACCACAGAUGCAGCCUUUUGGGGAGGACUAGGGAGAAAGCAGGUAUUGGAGAAGCAGGGGAUUGUUUAUUUGCUAAAAGUGUGGCCCUUUCACUCAGCAGGUCUGCUACUGCCUAGUGAGGAACGGCCUCUAGACAUCCUCAUGUCAAACCCUGCAUGUUCAGGCCCAUCUUUAAAAUCCAUCCUAG
rnacentral:lncRNA from 10 species